CACCCAGACUCCUACGGGAGGCAGCAGUGGGGAAUAUUGCACAAUGGGGGAAACCCUGAUGCAGCGACGCCGCGUGAGUGAAGAAGGUUUUCGGAUCGUAAAACUCUGUUGGUAGAGAAGAACGUUGGUGAGAGUGGAAAGCUCAUCAAGUGACGGUAACUACCCAGAAAGGGACGGCUAACUACGUGCCAGCAGCCGCGGUAAUACGUAGGGGGCAAGCGUUAUCCGGAUUCACUGAGUGUAAAGGGAGCGUAGACGGCGACGCAAGUCUGGAGUGAAAGCCCGGGGCCCAACCCCGGGACUGCUCUGGAAACUGCGUCGCUGGAGUACGGGAGGGGCAGGCGGAAUUCCUGGUGUAGCGGUGAAAUGCGUAGAUAUCAGGAGGAACACCGGCGGCGAAGGCGGCCUGCUGGACCGUGACUGACGUUGAGGCUCGAGAGCGUGGGGAGCAAACAGGAUUAGAUACCCCGGUAA
rnacentral:rRNA from 1 species